AAGUCGUAACAAGGUUUCCGUAGGUGAACCUGCGGAAGGAUCAUUAACACGUAUCCACGUCUCACCCAACGUGCACUAGUUUUCACAUCUCCCUCGACGCAGAGAAGGAAUCGAGUCGGCAGCAGAGUAUGAGUGGGGUUCGCAAGAGCUUAUCAGCUGUUCACUACUGAGGUUUCGGCCUCGACGAUUGUAUUUCUGUAGAGGCUAAUUGCCUUACUACUUUGGCUUCCACCUCUGUCGUGGUAGUAAGGAUCCCUUUCAUUUAACCUAUUUCACCCCCUUUUUGCUAGUUGACUUUUAUAUGUUGUUUUUCUUUGCGCUUGCGCAUGGUAAGGCACACGUUUAAUUAUUUGAACGUUAAAAAUACAACUCUUAGCAAUGGAUAUCUUGGUUCUC
rnacentral:misc_RNA from 1 species